CCCUCGUUAGUAUAUGCUUGUAUUUCUGGUUUCGGCCCAGAAGGUUAAACGAAGGU
rnacentral:tRNA from 1 species